CCUCAGCCAGGCAAGCUGACCGAGGCCUUCAAGUACUUCCUGCAAGGCAUGUGCUACAUGGCCUCAUCCUGCAUGACUCGCCUGUCCCGAUCUCACACAGCUUCCCUGACCAGUGCAGCAUCCAUUGAUGGCAGCCGGUCCCGCGCUUGAACCUUGUCCCAGAGCAGCGAGUCCGGGACUCUCCCUUCAGGGCCCCCAGGGCACACCAUGGAGGUCUCCUGUUGAAUGGCCCUUAUUGCCCUGGUGUGGGACCCAGCCCUCACCU